rnacentral:lncRNA from 1 species
UGGAUUGAUAAUCCAUUAUGGAUGGUUAUUUUAAUGGCAAAACAUAGUCAAUAUCUGUUGGAACAGGAAAAGGAUAUAUGUUUAGGUGAUCUGUAGGCUGAUGUAUCAGGGGCUGCUGCUGAGACGAUGGGUGGCUAUCGAGCAUUGCUUGUUUUAUGUUGUCCAAGAAGCUCCACUUGUGCUGUUGAAUGUAAGCUAGAAAUAUAUUGCAUGUUCUUUUCUAGUAUGAUGUUUACCUUAAUUUUGCAGGUGCAGAUAAUUGAGAUGAUGACGCUUUGCUGAACUCAUGAGGUUUUCUUUUGGAGGUCCUUCUGCAAGUUAUGUUAUCGUGACACUUUCUAUUUCUUAUAAGAUAUCAGUUGAGAUGGUAUUGUAUUGCUACUGGGCACCUACCUAUAUGAUGUAUAAUUAUGUAACUGGCAAGUUCUACCUUUUUAUCUUGGCCUAUGUUUACUGAUAUAAUGUGUUAUAUUAGCUAAAAUCCUAAUUAGUCUGUUAUUAUUUAAACUAAG